rnacentral:misc_RNA from 1 species
UUUUGCUGGCUUCACCAGAUUGUCAGCUCCCCUUAAAUGCAUUAGCCGGUGCCCUGCGUGGACUGUCUAUUGGUGUGAUAAUUAUCUACGCCGUGGACAUCUACAAUCAUAUGGGUUUGCACUGCUUCUAACCGUCUGUUUAUUCAGACAAUACAUGACAAUUUGACCUCAAAUCAGGUAGGACUACCCGCUGAACUUAA